ACGCACUCACACAAACAAACUCAUGCACACGUGCGCACACACACACAUACACGUAAACAUGCACACACAUACACACACACACACACGCAUGAAUGCACACACAGACAGACACACACAUACGUUCUCCCACCUUUUGUUAAAUAUAGCACAUGUAGAAGUUUUCAUUCACUUGCGUCUAAGAAGCCAGGUUGUUACUUCUGUCGUCGGUGCAGUUUACUGUCCAGUGGAGACCGAGCGUACUUACUGUCAGUGUGUCCGGUCGUACGAGUCUUAAUACGUUUUAUCCAUACCGUGAGUUCGGUGCAGAUUUCAGGGAAAGAAAAUGAAGUUCACUUGAAAAUCCUACGCGUCAGUUCAGCGUUUGCGGGGAACUUGAGACCCCCAAGCUGAGUUAUUGUACGCUUCUCCGGCACUGUGAAAUUCCCGUGGUUCGGAUGCGCACGACCUGCUUAAACAAGGACUUUUGGAGAAUACGACGAAACGCGCCCUCCAAAACGAAGCCAAUGGAAGCCUCUCACUCAACAUCCCUCGCCCUCCAGUUCGAUGUCUUUUAUCGGAUGACGGAUGAACCGUGACAAAAACCAACAGCAAAUAGCUCAAAAUGUUCUGAUUGCACUGCAUCAAUACGGGGGGGGGGUCUCAUCCCACCAUUUUCUAAAUCCAGAAGAUUACUUCCUUACGGUUUCAGUAAAUGCUAGAUUAUUUUUGUUUAUUUUUUUAAAUUUUUUGUUUAACUCGGUGGCAUUGCGAGGUUUUGCAGGCGUAAUAAGACGCCGUGCUGUCAAGCGGUCGGUUGGUUUUACUUCCUUCUGCAGCCCAACGGCGAGUUGUGGCGCCGCCCGCCCUGUGCGGGGGGGGGGGGGGGGGGGGGGGCAGAACAGGAAGCGAAGCCAGGGCCGUGAACGAAGGGCGUCCGGUCUUGUUGCGCUCGUUACCGCGGUUACCGUCAUGCCCACACUCGCUUGGGGCUUGGGCCGAAAAUGAGCUCCCGACGUUCGCGCUGGCUGGGAGGCGAGCUGAGGUUCGGAUUUAAAUCCGGCCCCGCAGUCUAAAUUCUCCCCGCCGCUCUUUUUAUUACGAACCCCCACACCUUCCCUUGCCCCCAUCUUAAGUUGUCACCAAAUACUUGUAUUGUUUCCGUAAAUAAAAAUGAAAAAAAAAAAAGAAGAAAGCCCAUUCACUUUGCCCUUGUCCGAACAGGCUUUGCCUGGCCAAACUAACGGAGACCUGCCUAACCAGAGCAACCCGAUUUGAAUCGCCAUGGUGACAAGAGUUUGCGUCCCCUUCCAGUUAGCCUAUCGCGUUCAUCUUAGUCCGCCUGUGCUCGGUGGUGGCCGAAUGUCUGCCAAGCUCAGUUCGUAUUGAGUGCUGUAUAAAUUCUGUGACUGCCUGCAUCACUUCAGGUCGUAAGAGAGGGGGUAUCGUACAUUUGAAAAACCGCUGAUAUGAGCAUCAUUUGGCAAUACGUAGCAGAACUGUGGCUUGUGCCUUAUACUGUGUUAUGAUAUGAAAUGGCUGUGGCUGAGGGGAUAGUGCCGGGUCAACAAUGUAGCUUGCAGUAAAGGAAACAUAAAACGGGAAUUGGAAAGUGCCUAAAUUUGGGUUUUUCAGUGUUCGGUGGUCAAAAAUGUCAACUUAUGGGGAAAACUCAGCCCCAUGACUGAACUUUAUCUGAGCUUGAAUUACUCUGUGCAUAGCAAGUUCAUUUCUGGCUGAUGGAUCUUUUUAUUGUAAAGGGAUCAUUCUCUUCCUGGGGAAUUUUGAUGGUAUUUCUGUUUUUAUUAUAUGUAUUUGAUUGGCCCAAGACAGUGUUUAUGUUCAGUGAAGUACAUUUUGGAUACUUGCAGAAGUUUCUGGCAACCCAGUCACAGUGUCUGGUGUAGGGGCAUUGGUGAUCUUAAGCAAGAAAAUACACUUCAGGUGACUCCAAAAUAAGCAUGUAUUGCAAUUUUCUGUUUCCCAGACGCUGUACAUCUGAACAGAAUAGAUUAGAUCAGUUCUCUCCAGGACCAGGUUUGGAGACCACUGGAUUACAUUAAUUUUCAUGGCGUUUACCGUAUUCACAACAAUAAGCAUUUUUUAAAAAUCUGUUUUUAUAUUCUGUCGGUCACUUCCUUCCUUCUCGCCUCUCCAAACGGUGCGCGUUUUUCGCCAGCGACCCGCAUAGCGAUGUUGACAUUGGAAGCCACGCCGCGGCUUUUCUUGAGCGUCGCACUCUCAGGUUACACGCACCGUAGCAAACGGGCACAACCGAAAAAAUAAGAUUAAAUGUCGUUUCUGGAAGAAUAAUCAUAUAAAAGUGCACACGUGCCUCGUAAUGUCAUAGUACUGCAGCGCAAGACGGAUUUGAAGUGUUGUCUUCCUGCUUUUGACCAUGUGUCUGUGAAUAGCCCCAGUGCCAGCUCAUUGUAAAUGCUAGUCUAAAAGGUAUGUAGCCCAGGGACUACUGAUUAAAACUAGCCUCCUUGGCUACCUGUGGCACAUUUGCAGAGAUGCUAUUUAUGUGCAUUGUCCCUGUCAAUAUAAAAUAAUAAAUUUAAUGUCGGAAGCUUCUGUGAAUGUCAUUCAUGGGCUUAUCGCAAAAUGCACCAAAAUUGAAAUGAUACGCCAAACAAAAAAAAAAAAAAAAACCCAGAAAGUGAGUUAUCCCUUUAACUUUAGGUUUAAACCGCCAGUCAGUUGGUCCAAAAAACACAGUCCUUUGACAAAAUUAAUUAAAACCCUGAAAUCUGAAACAAAAUAACUGCAUUUGGUUGACUUGGUAGCAGAAAUUUGAACUCUUUGGGGGAAUAAGUGGUUUACAUGCUUGUUGUGCUUACUCGACAAGUAAAAGUGACCUGUGCUACUCUGUUGUAUUGCACCUCUUCCUGAUUAUCACCAGAGGGUCAUGGGAAGUGUAGUCCUGGGGUUUCAGAGUGGUCACGCUCUGUCCAUCUGCUGGUUACUUCAUGGCAGCCAUUCUGUGCGUAUGCCUCAGUGCAGCACAGGGAAGUUUGCGAACAUACAGGUUUUUUAUAGUGCCACUUCCCAGAACGUUUAUAUACUGCUGUUGUUCAUGCAUGUAAGAAUGCAUUCUGGUAUUUUCUGAUGUUUUUUUAAAAUAUAUAGAUGUAUAUGGCAAAGGACACAAAGCUGUCAGUACUGUAACAAAAUGUACUUCUGCCAAUUCAUUGAUCAUUUGCUUGAAGGUGUUCUUAAAGCCCUUAUUUUUGUGUUUAAUAUACCCUUCUAAUUUUAUAUACAAUGCUAUAUUUACGAAAAAAUAUUUUAUAUUGCACAGGUUGUACAUUGCUAAAUUGCUUUUAUGUAGAAAACAUUUGAGUCUUCAUUAGACUAGGUGUAUGUAUAUUUGUUUUUUGUUUUUUUUAACUCAAGGCCUUUGUGUUGAUGAACAAAUAUUAGUGUACUUUUUUAUUGACCAUAGUUUUUUGUAGCCUAUUGAUGUAUUAUGUACAGAUUUCUGUCGGUGAAACAAGUUUUCACUGUUUCGGCGCUGUUGGUCUGGUCAUGUGAGCAAGAUAGUUACAGUCUUUAUGUACAUCGUUUAAAAAAAAAACAACAAUUGAACAACUGCUGAAGGUUCUCAUUGGUCAGGUGUACAUGUACGGUUUAGGUAUUUGUUGAACGUUUUUUUUUUUUAUUUUUUUUUUUUAUAAAAGUAGAUGGUAAACAAAUAAGAGGUCCUCCUGUUUGUAAAAAUAAUUGGGUAGACCUGACAGGUAUAGCAUGAUGGUUUUGUGUAGAAUACUAUCGAUGAAUAACAUGGACUUUGUCACUGUCUCAGUCACGGUGUCUGAGACGGGUUUUAUUGAAGGAAGACUAUUUCAGGCGUGGUGCUCAUCGGAAAUCGGUGCCUGAACGCAUUCCCGAAAUGUGAUCGCUGAAUCAGAGGGUCUAAUGAGGACUGUCCGAACUCGGCAUUACAUUGAAGGACACCUAUUUAUUUAAGAAAAUGUUAAGCUGUUUUUUUUUUUUUCAAAGCAUCGCAAAAUGACUACUACUGAAGUGUGCUUUCAAGAGUGUAGAAUCAAAAUUUCCGACACGUUUAAAUCUGAAUUUGAGCAGUCCACAGACCCGUGUCUUAUUUACAGUAUCGGCGGCGUAGGUAAAGAAGAAAGGCGUGAAUUUGCUCUGCGGCUGUCUUAAAUGUCGUUUUAACAACGUAUUUUAUGCAAGCAGUUUUGUCAUUUCUGUUUUGAGGUCUUUUACACACAGGUUACCGAGGGCAACGGAAUCGGCCCCCCUGCGCACAAUCCCAAAGCAACCGUGAAAACGUCUACUGUGUUCUACUCUGUGUUCUCAGGAAUGUAUGCAGUCUCUUAAUUGUCUCCUUCAUUUUGAUGGUGAAGAAUGGAAGAAUAAAAAUUGUUUUGCAGAA